AUACUGCAAAAUGCCAUUGAUGUCAAACUCUACUGAAAUGGAAUUUUCUGACAAAAAGUGGGAAUACAGCAUAACAUUGUCAGAGAUGGGAAGUUUUGAGAAAUACAAAUCCAAAGGCUGGAUUUUCUCAUACAUUUGCAACUUUCUCUUUCUCUGGUGAGUAGGAUUCCUAAUAGUGUCAUUUUAUUGCUGAUAAAACUGUAUUCUUUGACAGAACUCCAUAUAUUGUACUAACAGUGUAAAUACAGAGAAAAAAGUGGCUCCAGAGAGACAUGUUUUAGAAUAUGAAGUAAGAAUCAUUGUUUUGUGAUUUUGCUUUUGUUUUGUUUUUGCUCACAGAAAUACAUUAGCAAUAGAAAUGCUAAUGAGAAGUUGUACACAGAAAACGGCUGAUAAAGAGGUGUCUUUCCUGAGAAUUUCAAGGAUGUCUGUGAGGUGAAGUAUGGAUCUCCUGGUGACAUUACUGAAGACUACAGGGACUUCAUUAGAUACAAGCUUCACAGUGUGCAGAUCCACAUCAGCUUUAACAUCACGAGGAAGUUAUUUAUGGAAGAUACUGUAGGUGGGGAAAAGAAAAUUCCAUCCCUUGGAAGAGUUGGCUGCUUAUGCAGUUCCUCCAUGUGAUAGAUGUCUCUGCUUGGAUCAUGGAGCUGGAGCUGAGGGAGCAGGCAGUCAUGCCUUCAAACUGUAAUUUGCCUUCAGCUGUAGCAUUUCUUGACAUAUGAACACAGUCCCCAAAUGUAAGUGCUGCAGU